GGGUGCAUAACUCAGUGGUAGAGUAGUUGGCUUUUAACCAGUUUGUCCGUGGUUCGAUCCCACGUGCACCCACCA
rnacentral:tRNA from 1 species